rnacentral:tRNA from 1 species
GCAUCGGUGGUCUAGUGGUAGAAUACUCACCUGCCACGCGGGUGACCCGGGUUCGAUUCCCGGUCGAUGCA